CUGAAGGACUGAAGAAGAAAAGGAGGGAGCAAGGAGAGUGAGCAGGGAGAGUGAGCAGGGAAGCUUCACCCAAGGGGCAGGUGCUGGACCCAAGAGACAGGAGGAACUUUGGCAAAAUUUCACCCUGGAGGGAGGCCUGGACUGUGUACCCUGAAGGUUCAGAACCUGUCAGCAUUUUGUGAAUCCAGGGUGAACAAGGAAGCUGGCUGUGAGCAUGAGACCUAAGGGACACCACAUGGCUCUGUCUGCAUCAGUCUGACUUCCCAGAAGAGGAGAGAUUUUGGGUUCCAGAUGCCACCAGGAUGCUGGCCAGGCUUCCCUGGAUUGAAGACCCCACCAAUGUGUCCUGGAGCUCAGCUUCCCCAGAGACACACCCUACUAGGGAAAGAGAGAGGCAGACUGGGAGUAUGGACCAACCAGUCAACGCCCAUGUUCAGUGGGGAAGCAAUUACAGAAGCCAGACCUUCUAC